rfam:Mycobacterium shimoidei strain HMC_M2 PROKKA_contig000034, whole genome shotgun sequence.
CUGUGCCCGUGCAUGGUGGCCUCUGCCCGAACCGACCCUGACGUACUUCCCCAACGCCAGGUUCGCGCUCUCGGACAGGGACCUCGAUGCGCGGGCGAUCGCAA